rnacentral:lncRNA from 1 species
AAGGUCAUGGGGUUCUGGGAGAGAAAGCAGACCUCCAUGGAUCAUUCUAACAACCAGUUUUAGUUUUAAGGCAAAUUCUGCUAGGUGCCGCAAGGCUAUAGCAGCUCUCAUCCUGAGCCCUGGGCACGCGAAAAUGUCACCAUUCUGCCCACUAUUUGGAUGUGACGAGGUCAGGUCAUUCUCCUGAGCGUUUAUAGUAGG